GUAAACACUUUGAAGAACACGUGGUACUCAGGUCAUACGAAAAUCAGAAAUAAUUACUCUGUACUAUUCAACUCAUUUGUACCCAAAAAUGGUGAAAUUUCUCUCUGUUCUUCAAUGGUCCCUCCCAAGCUCUCAAGGGUUUGUCAUCUUCGGGUCAACGUAAAUCAGAAAUAAUUACUUUGUUUCUUUUCUUUUAUUGUUUCUUCCAAGCAAGCUUCUAAUGGGUGUUGAAGUUUGCAAGGAAAAUAACAUCACAGUAGAAGAGUAAAGGAAGAAGAAGAGACUAACACAGGAGCUACGUGGUUCGAUAUAAUUGUCUACAUCCAUGGUAAGGGGUUUCUUGAAGAAAUCAGAUGAGUCGUUUUCUCUCUUCACAAAAGCACACUUUUACUUUUUCUUCUUGAACAGAUAUGAACAGAAAAUUGAAAGACAGAUUCGCAUCAUUGGGAAGCAAUUCAACAAACAAGUAAACGAUUCAUUGGAAUUAGUUGUUUUCUCUUUCUCAAAAGAAGAUCAAGUUUCACUGUAAUGAAGAAACACGAAACCUUGAUCAGUUGAUUGAGGAAAAACUUGAUGAAAAAUAUAGUAUGAUAGAAUCACUCAAGUCCAGAUGAAAAAUAUCUACAUUCUCUGAACUUAUAAUCACAAAAAUUGUAAUUAUGAUUCAUAUCUUAAAGAAAUAAAAUCUUAGAUCCUGGGUCAUGCACUCCCCAGAAAACAUCUACUGGUUAACCA